UUUAGAAGAGCUGUGAGAAUCGAAGGGGGCUGUUACCCACUAAGAACAGCCUCACAACACUACAUAGCUUCCAUCAUGAACCAGGGAAAUUAAAAGAAAAACAUUUCCUGGCCACCUCGUUUGAGGAGCGGUUUUCUCAACAGCUCAGAUUCAGUAUCCAUUGCUCUACCUGGCCCUCGCUUCCUCCACUGCAGCUAACCUGGAACCAUCAUCAACCUGGAUAUGAAUUGAUCAUUAAUAAAAGGACUGGUGUAUCAAGGACCUACUCAUGCCUCUCUCCAGUCUUGUCUCCUCAUUUGGCUCUGAACCCAUGGGUUAAGACCUUUAGCUGAUGGCUAGACAACACCCUGUACUACAGGAUCAAGACCUUUAGCUGAUGGCUAGACAACACCCUAUACUACAGGAUCAAGACCUUUAGCUGAUGGCUGGACAACACCCUGUACUACAGGAUCAAGACCUUUAGCUGAUGGCUAGACAACACCCUAUACUACAGGAUCAAGAUCUUUAGCUGAUGGCUGGACAACACCCUGUACUACAGGAUCAAGACCUUUAGCUGAUGGCUAGACAACACCCUAUACUACAGGAUCAAGACCUUUAGCUGAUGGCUAGACAACACCCUGUACUACAGGAUCAAGACCUUUAGCUGAUGGCUAGACAACACCCUAUACUACAGGAUCAAGACCUUUAGCUGAUGGCUGGACAACACCCUGUACUACAGGAUCAAGACCUUUAGCUGAUGGCUGGACAACACCCUGUACUACAGGAUCAAGACCUUUAGCUGAUGGCUAGACAACACCCUGUACUACAGGAUCAAGACCUUUAGCUGAUGGUUUGUGGUGUGCUGUAUUGCUGUCCUUGUGACUGGUUUCACUUCACAUGUGCACACAGAGAAACAGUUAAAUCACGUUUCUCAAGGGUGUUGACUUUUAUUUGGGUGUGAAUGUAUUAAUGGAUCCCGUGAUAAAGCUUUUAUAGCACUGUUUUAUGGAUAGACUCAAAUGUUAACCACUUUGAUCCAUUGCCAAUUCUGCCUUAAUAAUCUCUGCCAUUUCUAAUUCCCAAGUUUAUAUUUGUGAUCUUUUUCUCUGAUGGAAAGGCAAGACAUGAGACAUUACUAAACUGUUUUUAGAUACUGUUGCUGUGACAACGUGGAUUGACUGUGGUCAUGAAAAGGUAUGGUCACCAACUGUGAUACACUGCAAAGAGUUUACUAAAGCAAGAAAAGUAUAUUCUGACAUAAUGUCAAGUCUCCACGCAGAGGAAAUUUUUUGAUAGAAGUGAAAGUAGCUCGAACAUAACUUUGAAGAAGACCUUUUGUCCUAGAAGAGGUAGCAGAAGUGCUGUGGUCAGCUGUGUGGUUAGGUAUAUCUGCUGUGCUCCACUGCCAAUAUAAAAGUACUCCUGACCUCUGCCCUGUCAGUGCACUCUCUGUAGGGGUCACAUGGUUGUUCCCCUAUUGAAACACCAGCCGAAUGAGUGGCGGUGUAACCAUGGUGGAUCUUCUGUGCUUCGUUAUAAUCUAUGGAAUACCAGCAUACCACAAGUGUAACUCAUCUGUGACACACCCCAUUUUCUAUCCAAAGAGGGAGCUAAAAGGAGGCUUCAGGAUUACCCUUCAUUUAUUCCCUGAGGGAGAUGUUGCAUGUGAUAGUGUGAAGGUGUGUGUGUGUGCCAAACGCCAGGCUGUGUGUUAAUGAGUGUGUGUGUAACCCCUCUGUAGUUUAGCUGUCUUAUUUUUCUUGUCUAGAAUGACUGCCGAAUUCUCCCCAUCCAGAGGAACCCGCUGCUGUUGGCAGGAAGAGGUUGUGUGUGUGCGUGCACAUCCAUUUACAUGGGUGCCUGCGUGCAUUCCUUUUUGUGUGUUUUAUGCGCAUGCUUGUUUGUGUGCAUGCAUGCAUUCCUGUGUGUGUGUGUGUGUGUGUGUGUGUGUGUCUGAGUGUCAGGGCAGAGGCUUCUGGCUCCAGUACGUCGUAUCAAUUCCCAGGGGCCCAGUCCCAGUCCUGGCCCCAGGCUCAGCUCCACUAGUACUGCCAUGCCCUCAAACCCUUGGAAAGCCCUCUUCCUGCCGUAAAUGUCAUGGGCCUCCUUAACAAGAAAUAUGAAUGCAUGAAGCCAAAUGAUACAAUCUCAAAGCAUCAGCCAGCGUCGCUUCAUACCUUGUAUCUCUCCAUUUAUGACCACUUUCCAUCCGGGGCGUGGUUGACCAUA